CCCCUCUUUGAGCAAUAAAACAAUUGCUCAUCUUAUCGAUAAAAUCUUACCAGGACAGAGAAACUUCCACAUGGUAUUUUCAGGGGUGCUAGUCACUCCCUGCGGGACUUUCAUUAAUUUCUUCACCUCGAUUCCCAUGUGGUAAUUCCUAAGGCCCAGUUUAAAGAUGGGUUGAUACUCUACAGUGGCAGAGAGGAGAAUUUCUAAUUGUUUCUGUUCUGCAUUAUGGAUUCAUUUCUGUACUCUCUUCCUCAAUGUACAAGUAAGAUGGCAGUUAUAUAAAAUCAUACACAAUAAAAUCAGGACUAUAAUAACAAAAGGAUAGAAGAAUGAUUUCAUUAUCUGAGAUCCAGUAGGGGACCAACCAGUAAAGCAUUGUACCAAUGAUGGGCUAAAUCAUUCUGAAUUUGUGAACUCACCUUAAGGAGUUCUCCUUUUAGGAUAUGUGUGGCUACCUGUGUGUGUUAUCUUUGGGAAAAAUAUAGUCCCCUGUGUAUGUGGGUGCCCACCAGGUUAAAUUCUUGGCAAAAAGAUCAUAAACUGGUACUGGUAAUGUGUUAAAUUGACAAGCUAAUUUAACAUCCUUUGAUGAUGUAUGAUAUAAUGUAAAAUAGCAUGAGCAUGAAAAAUGUGAAACAUUACCAGUUAACCAUUCAUUGCAUUUACUGGAUUGGGGUUUUAGAAGUAACCAUUCAUUAUCUGUGAGAUUACACUUUCCUCUAAUCUUCUCUAGUUUGGGAAUCAUUAGUGUGUUUUCUAAUGCCAAUCCUUGUUGUUGUAUCCAUAAAUACCUGAUGGCACAAGUACUCCAGUUACUUAGACCUGUAGUGAAUUUCAUAGUUGCAACAGUUAAAUUAUCUAAAUAAUUAUACAUUGAUUUAUCUAAAUCCAAUCCUAUAACCUGUGAUUUAACAACAAUUGGAGCCCAAUUUGCAGUAGCAUGAAAACCAGUCCCUAUAUGCAUGCUGGCUGUGUUUAACUUAUUCUUGAGGGUCUCCAUAUCUAUAACUAUUUAGUAUACCCAUAGUGGUUCCAGCACCAUCUAACAGUGUGUCAUACCAUUCCCUUUUCUGCCUUUGUUUGUUGUAUUACAUAAUGUUACAACAAGAGUAGUGACUUUUAAUGACACAUGUACAGCUUGUAAGAAGGCAGUUGUAUUAACACAUGUGGACGGAAUAGGUGUGUGUGUGUGUCGUGUUUGACUUUUGGUUCUAUGGUAGUGGAUAAAGGACAGUAAUAAGGUGUAAAAAUAUAAGGUAGUGUAUAGUUCUCAAUUGUAGUGUCGUUCAUAAUGACUAACAUUUGUCCCCUUCUCCAAUUAAUGAUACCAGUUAUAUAAUCAUUAUUAAAAGUAAAAAAGUAAUAAGGCCUGUCUGUUUACAUUGAUAUGCAACCUUAACUGUGCACAUUUCUGCGUUAUAAGAUCUAACAAUUUUCUGUGAACCUUUAAACAAACAUAAUGCAUCGGUUUCAUUAGCUGUAGACACAUUUCAUAUGGGUAUCUGGUACUUAUAAGGGUUACUAUUUGUCCAAUUCAUCCAAAUGCAUUCAGUGAAUGAAUGAUUGCAUAUUACAUGCUGAUAGAAAGGUGGUGGAGAAAGGUUCUUGAGGGGGCGUGUGUGACGAAUGCUAGAUGAGGGGCUAAGGCCUAAUUGGGCUGGGGGUAUUGAAGAAUUGUUCAUCAUGUCAGAGUCUUUUUCCAGAACUUGCCAUUGACUUGUACUCAUAAUGGCAUUCAAGGAACAAUAUCAGAGGGAGUAUAACAACUCCAGAAAGCAUAGCGCACAACAUAAUCUUGGUCUCAGGUACGUAUGAUCCUCUCAAUCUACGAUAUGGUGUGAAAACCAUGAUGCUUCGCUGAGGAGAAAUUCUUCUGUUUCCGAGCGAGGAGUGGUGUUGUCUUCCUUGGUUCCCCUCUUUGGACACAGCUUCACUCGGGAUGCGUGAAUCCAGAUGUCAUGGGAAUCUGUGAGGACAGCGGUUAUGGGUACAGCAAUCACAGUAGCAGGUGGUCCAAAAGGGUAUCCUCCUUUCUUGGUCCUGUUCAGCUGACGGAUAUACACCUUGUCACCGGGCUGGUAUGAAUGAGUAGGUUCCUGUGAAGGUAAGGGAAAACUGCGAAGAAACAUUGUCAUACAUACCAUUUGGUUUUAUCAACAAUUCACCUUGUGGGGAUAUAUUCUUAUCUCAGCUAAAAUAGCUGGUAGAUAUCUAGUCCAAUUUACCCAUGUUCCUGGGUAAAUUCUGGGCUUUUCCUUAAUAGUCCUAUUCAUCCUUUCAACUACCCCUGUAUUCUGUGGAUGAUAGGGUAUAUGAAACUGCCAGGUAACUUGCAAGAAUUUAGCAAGUUCCUGGGCAACCUUACUGCAAAAACCGGGCCAUUAUCAGAGCCAAUCUGCAGAGGGCAGCCAUACCUGGGAAUAAUUUCAGUAACAAUAAUCUUCACUAGAAUCUUCCCUAGAUAUCACAAAGGCCUCAUGCCAUCUACUAAACUGAUCAACUAUGACCAGUAAGUAUUGCUGUUUCUUACCAAUUUUGGAUACAUGAAUAAAAUCAAUCUGUAAGUGUGUAAAAAGAGCAGUGUUCACACGAUCUUACAAAAGACUGUACAUGCUGCCUGAGAUUCCUAAUAUAAAAUGAAUUCAUGAGGAAUUGAAUGGUGCUUGCUAUGUGCCUGACUGAUGAAAAUAAAUCAGCUUGCUUCAAGUAUGCCUAUUCUUCAAGUAUGCCUAUUCUCCCCUCUUUAGAGAACAGAUCAUUUUGAUCUUUCUCUAAACCUUGUUUAAUCCAAAAGACAGAUUGUGGGUAUUUAAAAAAAGAAUCUCAUAACCACUGAAGCGCUGGGCUGUCAUGUGUUG